GGACUGCAAGAGAGGGGCGUAACUGGAAGGAGGCGUAACUUGAAGAAAGGGGCGUAACUUGAAGUUGUCCAAAUCACACAGAACCACGCGAGAUGUCAAAACGAGAUGUUAUUGGCAAGAUGGCCGCUUGUAUAUUGACAAGGGACAGAUGAGACACACGAGUGUAUAUCCGGUGCAGAGUGACUGAUGAAGGAAUGCUGCCAUCAAAGACUCUCAAUCUUUUGUGGUGGAGCAGGACCUGCAAGACAAGGUGACAGCGACAUUUGUGGAAAAAAGGGAAAACCUGAAACAAAAGGAUAAAGGACCUACAAUCCCCUGGAUCAACCUGGAGAAAAGAGCCUUGCUGAAGGACACGCCAGUGACGAACCAGCAACCUUCUGCUGACCAGUUCAGUGGUUUAGCCCACUACAGAAGUAGUGGUGCUCAUGGAGAGCAGCACACGAAUGUUUGAAGCAGACACAGAUUAUCCCGCACAUGUUCUCCUGCUCUUGCCUCAAGGUUGUGUGGUUCAGGGGUGUCAUCAUGGUCUUCCUCAUCCUCUGGGUCAACGAUG